AGAAACAAAUACACAGUUGGGGAGAAGUUUGGGUUCUAAACUAAGAGAUUAAGGAGACAUCAUAAUUCAAAGCAGAGAAACUCAACUAUGAGUGGGUCCUGAAAGUAGAGUCACUCUUGGGGAGAUUUGAAAAUGAACCAUUAGGGGCGCCUGGAAUUACUAUUUACUUUCUCAGGUGUGAUAACGGUCUGGAAGUGGCCUAGAACAUUCUCCUUAUUCUCAAAAAAUGCCUGCUAUUUAAACGGAAAGUGUCCCGAUGGCUGUAACUUCCAAAGAGUUCAACUAAAAACCCAUCAUUACGUGUACAUGUACAUGCACAUAAAGCAAAAGUGACAAAAUGUACGGGCACCUGGGUGGCUCAGUUAGUUAAGCAUCCAGCUUUGGCUCAGGUCAUGAUCUCAUGGCUCAUGAGUUUGAGCCCCAAGUCAGGUUCUGUGCUGACAGUUCAGAGCCUGAAGCCUGCUUCAGAUUCUGUGUCUCCCUCUCUCUCUACCCCUCCCCUGCUCGUGCUUUCUCUCAGAAAUAAAUAAACAUUAAAAAAAAAAAUUUUUUUUAAGUGGCAAAAAUGUUAAAAUUA